rnacentral:rRNA from 1 species
ACGCUCGACACCUACGGGAGGCUGCAGUCGGGAAUAUUGCGCAAUGGAGGAAACUCUGACGCAGUGACGCCGCGUAUAGGAAGAAGGUUUUCGGAUUGUAAACUAUUGUCGUUAGGGAAGAGAAAGGACAGUACCUAAGGAGGAAGCUCCGGCUAACUACGUGCCACAGCCGCGGUAAUCUGAGCGGGCUGGCAAGGC